CCCGCGCGAGCUCGCGCGGUCUCCUCGCGCGGCCGCGCGCCUGGCCCGCGCGGUACUCCAGCAACUCCUGCUUCGUCGCGCGGCCGUGGCAUGCGGCCGCAUGCCCGGACCGCGCGACCUCCAGCGCACGCACUCGCGCACGGCCGCGUGUCCUCCGACACACGGACUUCCCGGCGCCCGUUCUUGCUCAUCCGAUGCCCGAUUUUAGCCCGGUUCGUGUCUAUGGACUCGUCACUUCGCGUACUCCACUACGCUUCAUCCAAAUCUUCACAAAUCGAGCCCAGUAACCUGUAAAAACAACACGAGCACGGACGAGUAGUCUAUUCCACACAAAUUUAACAAUUCAAACCAAAGACACUCAAGAACUCAAUGAAAACACCCAAAAACUAUGACUAAACACGACAAAGGAGAUGAAAAAUGCAUGUAGAACA
rnacentral:lncRNA from 1 species